AAUGAACGCUGGCGGUAGGCCUAUCACAUGCAAGUCGAACGGCAGCACAGUAAGAGCUUGCUCUUACGGGUGUCGAGUGGCGGACGGGUGAGGAAGACAUCGGAAUCUACUUUUUCGUGGGGGAUAACGUAGGGAAACGUACGCUAAUACCGCAUACGACCUACUGGUGAAAGCAGGGGAUCUUCUGACCUUGCGCGAGUGAAUGAGCCGAUGGUGGAUUAGCUUGUUGGCGGGGUAAAGGCCCACCAAGGCGACGAUGCGUAGCUGGUCUGAUAGGAUGAUCAGCCACCCUGGAACUGAGACACGGUCGAGACUCCUACGGGAGGCAGCAGUGGGGAAUAUUGGACAAUGGGCGCAAGCCUGAUCCAGCCAUACCGAGUGGGUGAAGAAGGCCUUCGGGUUGUAAAGCCCUUUUGUUGGGAAAGAAAAGCAGCAGGUUAAUACCCCGCUGUUCUGACGGUACCCAAAGAAUAAGCACCGGCUAACUUCGUG
rnacentral:rRNA from 1 species